rnacentral:rRNA from 1 species
UCUGGCGGCAAUAGCGCGGUGGUCCCACCUGACCCCAUGCCGAACUCAGCAGUGAAACGCCGUAGCGCCGAUGGUAGUGUGGGGUCUCC